AGAGUUUGAUCAUGGCUCAGGAUGAACGCUGGCGGUAUGCCUAACACAUGCAAGUCGAACGAUGUCUUCGGACAUAGUGGCGGACGGGUGAGUAACGCGUGAGAAUCUGCCUCUAGGAUGGGGAUAACGGUUGGAAACGACCGCUAACACCCAAUAUGCCGUAAGGUGAAAAAUUUAUUGCCUGGAGAGGAGCUCGCGUCUGAUUAGCUAGUUGGUGGGGUAAGAGCUCACCAAGGCUUCGAUCAGUAGCUGGUCUGAGAGGAUGAGCAGCCACACUGGGACUGAGACACGGCCCAGACUCCUACGGGAGGCAGCAGUGGGGAAUUUUCCGCAAUGGGCGAAAGCCUGACGGAGCAAUACCGCGUGAGGGAGGAAUGCCUUUGGGUUGUAAACCUCUUUUCUCAGGGAAGAAGAUCUGACGGUACCUGAGGAAUAAGUAUCGGCUAACUCCGUGCCAGCAGCCGCGGUAAUACGGAGGAUGCAAGCGUUAUCCGGAAUCAUUGGGCGUAAAGCGUCCGCAGGUGGUUUCCAAAGUCUGCUGUUAAAGACUGGAGCUCAACUCCGGAACGGCGGUGGAAACUUGGAAACUAGAGUUCGGUAGGGGUAGCAGGAAUUCCCAGUGUAGCGGUGAAAUGCGUAGAUAUUGGGAAGAACAUCGGUGGCGAANGCGUGCUACUGGACCGUAACUGACACUCANGGACGAAAGCUAGGGGAGCGAAAGGGAUUAGAUACCCCUGUAGUCCUAGCUGUAAACGAUGG
rnacentral:rRNA from 1 species